UACGAGUGCUCCAAGCGUUAUCCGGAAUCAUUGGGCGUAAAGGGUGUGUAGGCGGUUGUGUUAGUCUUUCGUUAAAUUCUUCGGCUUAACCGGGGGCAUGCGAAGGAAACGGCACAACUAGAGGAUGCGAGAGGUGAAUGGAACUCAUGGAGUAGGGGUGAAAUCCGUUGAUAUCAUGGGGAACACCAAAUGCGAAGGCAAUUCACUGGCGCACUCCUGACGCUGAGACACGAAAGCGUAGGUAGCGAAUGGG
rnacentral:rRNA from 1 species